rnacentral:rRNA from 1 species
AUUGAACGCUGGCGGCAGGCUUAACACAUGCAAGUCGAGCGGAGAGAGGUAGCUUGCUACUGAUCUUAGCGGCGGACGGGUGAGUAAUGCUUAGGAAUCUGCCUAUUAGUGGGGGACAACAUUUCGAAAGGAAUGCUAAUACCGCAUACGUCCUACGGGAGAAAGCAGGGGAUCUUCGGACCUUGCGCUAAUAGAUGAGCCUAAGUCGGAUUAGCUAGUUGGUGGGGUAAAGGCCUACCAAGGCGACGAUCUGUAGCGGGUCUGAGAGGAUGAUCCGCCACACUGGGACUGAGACACGGCCCAGACUCCUACGGGAGGCAGCAGUGGGGAAUAUUGGACAAUGGGCGGAAGCCUGAUCCAGCCAUGCCGCGUGUGUGGAGAAGGCCUUAUGGUCGUAAAGCACUUUAAGCGAGGAGGAGGCUACUUUAGUUAAUACCUAGAGAUAGUGGACGUUACUCGCAGAAUAGGCACCGGCUAACUCUGUGCCAGCAGCCGCAGUAACAC